CUCCUCAGGAAAAGCUGCUCUCCAAACGGGAGGGCACUCUCUUCCCCCCAGCGGGGGCUCCGUGUCGUCCAGAAGGGCCCAUGGGAGGCACAGGGGCCAAGCAACCACCUUGACUUCAACUUCAACCGCUUCACCCCGAACCCAGCCAGCCUGAUCCCAGCCGUAGGAGUUUCUAUUUUUGAAACUGAAAAUAGUCCUCACUCUUCGCUUUGUCAGUAUUUUGACCUUCAUUUCCCUCCUCCCCACCCCCAUGCCCCUGGUGGGCAGAGGGAGGGGGGCAGUUGGAUUUUUUUUUAAGGCCAAACAAAAACAAAACCUUGUCCAGGCCGAGGCCAGCCGCUCACCAUGUUCCGGGCGGACUCUGCUACGUGCCAGCAGUGACCGUCAGCAGGAUCUGCAGGAAACACCUUGCAGAACCCACUAGGAGAAGCCAGAGGAGUGUGAAGCGGAUACGCUGCUGAGGCCAGGCACAGGAAACGGCGUUGGAACUCCAGGGACCAGAGGGCUAACUCACAAAGGUCGUGAGGAUGGAGAUAUGAGCAAAAGGACUCCGCCCGGUGCUCGGGGCACAGCAGCCACUCAGGAAACUGCUUCUUUCGGCACCAACAAGAACAGGAAGCCGGGGAGCACUUUGAACCACCAGGCGUGAUCAUGAAAGGAGGCUCCAAUCAAAGAGGGCAUCGGCCUCGUGUUCACGCCGCUCAGGCCUCUGGCAUGGGACUGAAGUCGGCCGUGGUGCAGGGCGGAUGUUGAGAAGUCCCAAGCUGAAUCGAACAGGUCAUUGUUUGUCCCUGUCCCCUCUUCUUCAACAGGACACUCCGAGGGGUAGAAUUGGUGCCAGGGUCAGCUGGGAACUUGUGCCAAAUUCACGUCCACUGCAGGGAGCAGUUGGUGGCCUCUUCCAGGCCUCGAGGCUGACCCUGGGGCCGUGGGGAGGGAAGGACCAAUCUGCCCCCAGAGAGCCCCAUUUCUGUCUUCCCUCCCCCAUGAGGGGGACCCCUGAUGAGGGAGAAAGUGCGUGAAUUUCCUCCACGUGACUGUCUCUGUAGCCACUCCCCCUGCCCGUCUGGGAAGGCCAAGUGUAGGGGUGCCGAGGAGGAGCCCAACACGUGGAAGGAACGCAAGCUACAAGGGUGGGGUGCUGUGUCCCCCAGGUCAGCUGCCCCGUGAGCAGGGGCUGGGAGCCUUAGUUCUAAAUGCCUGGACCUCUAACUCCUGGGGCACGUCUCCUCCUGUCCCUGGGCCUGCGUCCCCCAUUGGGGAGUGGAGAGUCUGUGAGUCCGGGUGCCCUGCCUGUGUCUAGAAAGCUCACCUGGAGGAGCAGAAGAGACUUCUUGAGAUUCCGGCCCCUCCUCCCUGGGAGUCUGCCUGCAGCAGGUGGCUGGAUCCCUGACCUCCUUCGGAGACUCCCGCUCAGGCAGCAACCACCAACAGAUGGCAGAGUGCCCCAGGGCCGGUAUCUCGGCAUGAUCUGCUGCUUUCCAUCAACACGGAAGAAUGUGGCCCCGAGAGGCAGUGUGCCCCUAAGUGGCUCUAAGAACACUUCUGCGUGAGUUUCACCCACUCCAAGCCUGGAGCACAGCUCUGCCAGUCUCCAGUCUGGGGAAGUACGGCAGGACACGUCACCUGUCUGAACCCCCAUUUCCCCAUGCCUCAAAGGGCACUCCCUCAUGCAUUUAAUAAACAUUAGAGUUUCAAAGUAA